rnacentral:rRNA from 1 species
GACGAACGCUGGCGGCGUGCUUAACACAUGCAAGUCGAACGGAAAGGCCCUGCUUUUGUGGGGUGCUCGAGUGGCGAACGGGUGAGUAACACGUGAGUAACCUGCCCUUGACUUUGGGAUAACUUCAGGAAACUGGGGCUAAUACCGGAUAGGAGCUCCUGCUGCAUGGUGGGGGUUGGAAAGUUUCGGCGGUUGGGGAUGGACUCGCGGCUUAUCAGCUUGUUGGUGGGGUAGUGGCUUACCAAGGCUUUGACGGGUAGCCUGCCUGAGAGGGUGACCGGCCACAUUGGGACUGAGAUACGGCACAGCCUCCUACGGGAGGCAGCAGUGGGGAAUAUUGCACAAUGGGCGGAAGCCUGAUGCAGCAACGCCGCGUGCGGGAUGACGGCCUUCGGGUUGUAAACCGCUUUCGCCUGUGACGAAGCGUGAGUGACGGUAAUGGGUAAAGAAGCACCGGCUAACUACGUG